rnacentral:misc_RNA from 1 species
AACAUGUUCAAUGAUCUAAUCACACCGUACCAGGUCAGAAAUCUGAAUUUCAUGCUCCUGACAUCACACAUGCUUUGUACAUGAGCAAAUCCACAAGGAGUAACACAACAAAAGAGCAUUAUAAACAAACAAGAGCAGUAAACUUCAAAAAAGACAAGACUACAAGGCACUUCAACCAAUUUAGAUAUUCCAAAAAAUACUGUUUCAUCAUCCGGAUAUGGAACUCGUUGCAAAAGGUUAUUCAUCCCCCUCCUUGCCGUGGAAUAUAAAGGAAUGCAGAAUAAAAAUACAAUAUUGAAUCGCCAUCAUCAUUUUUCUGAGUAUUGUGUGUUAAGAAGCAAAGUUACUCAUUACAAAUGUAUAAUGCAAAAAGUCUACCCUAGCUCAUACUCUUCGAUUGUUAAAAGGAUCAAGGAAAAACAACAUUUCAAGACAUUAGUCAGAUUUAAUAUCAAAUAAUUCAAAUUAAUCAAUGGGAAACAAACAUUGACAACUAGCAUUUUUCAGUAUUCAAUAAAUUGCUUUUUGUCUUCAG